UCGAACGGUGACGACGGGGCUUGCCCUGUCUGAUCAGUGGCGAACGGGUGAGUAACACGUGAGUAACCUGCCCUUGACUCUGGGAUAACCGCGGGAAACGGCGGCUAAUACCGGAUAUGAGACGUACAGGCAUCUGUUGCGUCUGGAAAGAUUUAUCGGUCAAGGAUGGGCUCGCGGCCUAUCAGCUUGUUGGUGGGGUGAUGGCCUACCAAGGCGACGACGGGUAGCCGGCCUGAGAGGGCGACCGGCCACACUGGGACUGAGACACGGCCCAGACUCCUACGGGAGGCAGCAG
rnacentral:rRNA from 1 species